UGAUAUUAAUAUUUUACGUGGUAGAAUAUUCGCAUAUGAUUUUGAUACAUCGUUAUUAUGAUAUUAGAUAUAUCAUAAUUGAGAUAAGUUUUUCCCACACGAAAAUAAAUAUAUUUCCGUGGGAUAUAUUCCUACACACUAAAUUAGUGAUGUAAAGUAGUCAAGCAUAUGUGUAUGUAUUUUUCUAUAUCUCAAUCUCUCUCAAUCUCUCUCAAUCUCUCUCACUCUCGACUCUCUCUCAAUCUCUCUCACUCUCGACUCUCUCUCAAUCUCUCUCAAUCUCUCUCACUCUCGACUCUCUCUCAAUCUCUCUCUUUCUCCCUCACUCUCUCUCACUCUCGGUCUCUCUCUCCCCUCACGCACCCCCUUCCCUCUCUCCCUCAUUACUUCAUUCUCCCCCAUAAAUGUUGCACACAUGCAACAUUAAACCCUAACCUAAAAGGCUAACCUAGUUAGCAAACACAAUCCCAAACUUUAAGCUCUCACACCUCUCUCUCAUAUCUCUCUUUUUCUCGGCUCUCACUCCUCUCUCCUCCCUCCUCCUCUCUUCUCCUUCUCUAUUCACUUCAUAGGAUGACAUACUCCACCAUUACUCCAUCUUUGACUACAAGAUAGUGUAUUAAAAGAAGAUCACACAAGCACAUGCAAGUUUUCUCCCCCCCCCC
rnacentral:lncRNA from 1 species